rnacentral:rRNA from 1 species
AUUGAACGCUGGCGGCAUGCUUUACACAUGCAAGUCGAACGGCAGCGCGGGCUUCGGCCUGGCGGCGAGUGGCGAACGGGUGAGUAAUGCAUCGGAACGUGCCCAGUAGUGGGGGAUAGCCAGGCGAAAGCCGGAUUAAUACCGCAUACGACCUGAGGGUGCAAGCGGGGGAGCGAAAGGCCUCGCGCUAUUGGAGCGGCCGAUGUCGGUUUAGCUAGUUGGUGGGGUAAAGGCUUACCAAGGCGACGAUCCGUAGCUGGUCUGAGAGGACGACCAGCCACACUGGGACUGAGACACGGCCCAGACUCCUACGGGAGGCAGCAGUGGGGAAUUUUGGACAAUGGGGGCAACCCUGAUCCAGCCAUGCCGCGUGCGGGAAGAAGGCCUUCGGGUUGUAAACCGCUUUUGUUCGGGAAGAAAUCCUCUGGGCUAAUACCCCGGGGGGAUGACGGUACCGGAAGAAUAAGCACCGGCUAACUACGUG